rnacentral:rRNA from 1 species
UACGGGGGGGGCAAGCGUUGUUCGGAAUUACUGGGCGUAAAGGGCUCGUAGGUGGCCAACUAAGUCAGACGUGAAAUCCCUCGGCUUAACCGGGGAACUGCGUCUGAUACUGGAUGGCUUGAGUUCGGGAGAGGGAUGCGGAAUUCCAGGUGUAGCGGUGAAAUGCGCAGAUAUCAGGAGGAACACCGGUGGCGAAGGCGGCUUGCUGGGCCAGUUCUGACGCUGAGGAGCGAAAGCGUGGGGAGCGAACAGG